rnacentral:rRNA from 1 species
GAGUUUGAUCCUGGCUCAGGAUGAACGCUGACAGAAUGCUUAACACAUGCAAGUCAACUUGAACUUCGGUUUGGGUGGCGGACGGGUGAGUAACGCGUAAAGAACUUGCCUCACAGAUAGGGACAACAUUUGGAAACGAAUGCUAAUACCUGAUAUUAUGAUUUUAGGGCAUCCUAGGAUUAUGAAAGCUAUAUGCGCUGUGAGAGAGCUUUGCGUCCCAUUAGCUAGUUGGAGAGGUAACGGCUCACCAAGGCGAUGAUGGGUAGCCGGCCUGAGAGGGUGAUCGGCCACAAGGGGACUGAGACACGGCCCUUACUCCUACGGGAGGCAGCAGUGGGGAAUAUUGGACAAUGGACCAAGAGUCUGAUCCAGCAAUUCUGUGUGCACGAUGAAGUUUUUCGGAAUGUAAAGUGCUUUCAGUUGGGAAGAAAAAAAUGACGGUACCAACAGAAGAAGUGACGGCUAAAUACGUGCCAGCAGCCGCGGUAAUACGUAUGUCACAAGCGUUAUCCGGAUUUAUUGGGCGUAAAGCGCGUCUAGGUGGUUAUGUAAGUCUGAUGUGAAAAUGCAGGGCUCAACUCUGUAUUGCGUUGGAAACUGUGUAACUAGAGUACUGGAGAGGUAAGCGGAACUACAAGUGUAGAGGUGAAAUUCGUAGAUAUUUGUAGGAAUGCCGAUGGGGAAGCCAGCUUACUGGACAGAUACUGACGCUGAAGCGCGAAAGCGUGGGUAGCAAACAGGAUUAGAUACCCUGGUAGUCCACGCCGUAAACGAUGAUUACUAGGUGUUGGGGGUCGAACCUCAGCGCCCAAGCAAACGCGAUAAGUAAUCCGCCUGGGGAGUACGUACGCAAGUAUGAAACUCAAAGGAAUUGACGGGGACCCGCACAAGCGGUGGAGCAUGUGGUUUAAUUCGA